UAAAAGUGUGGUAGUUCACGCGGAAAAAGUAAGUUAUCUUACUUUAAAAAUUUGUAUCGUCACCCCAAGUAAACAGAUUUACUUCAGUCAUUACAGAAUUAUUCAUUUGAAAAAAAUAUCUGAAUCAAUUGAAACCACACACAGUUAAACCAAUAUUUAGUAAUUUUACACUGAAUAUAAUUUUUAUUGAACCAAAUAAUUGGUUUUCUUGACUUUGUCGCUUGUCCUCGAGAACCGACGCAUUUGGACGACUCAACUCAACUGCGCCAUAAACCAGGAAGACCCAACGCAAUCAACACGUUUUGUUAGGUUAAAUAAAGUUGCAGUUAGUGUACAAUGGAGGAAUUGCUACAAUCGUGGGAACUUGACGAAAUUAUCAUUCAAAAAUUUAAAGAACUGGUACUACUGAAAGCACGCCCUUUCCCUUCCUCGAUCACAUGGCGUAGUCAGUAAAGUAAAUUAAAUAAAAUGGGUGAAUAUCGAGGAAUAUCUCCAAUGAGUACAGCAAGUGUAGUCUCAAAAAAAGACCAGGCAAGACAGUGUACUCAACUUCUUCAUUACAUCGAAGAGGAAGGAUUCAAAAUUUUCACGACCUUCAUGUUCGAAGAAGAAAAAAAUCAACUGCAGCCGCUGUUGGAGAAAUUUGAAGCUUUGCCUAAGGAAAACCUGUCGUACGAACGUUAUAAAUUCUUCUCGUACAGAAAACAACCACAGCAAAGCCUAGAACAAAUGCAAGUUAGGUGACCUAAAGGAAGAACUCAUCAAAUCCAUGAUAUUAUGUGGGGUUAACAGACAAACGCCAACCUGAUGAGAGAAAAGCUGCAGGAUGACACAUUAAGUCUCGACAAAGCAAUAGAAUUAUGCACAAUUAUAGAGAAACAACGACAACGUCAGCGAACGCCGUCGGUGGUAACGUAAAUAAAAUGAUUAAUAAUUGUAACAAGUGUGGUAAAAUUCAUGCUAUAAAUAAAUGUCCGGCAUUUGGUAAAAUCUAUAAUUGGUGUAAAAAAAGAAAUCAUUUUCAGUCAGUUUGUAAAAAUAUAAAUAGUGUCCAUAAAAUUAAAAACGAGUCCGCAAUUAAAAAUAAUUUCUUUGUUGGUUCAAUAGAGUUAGGCGAAAUACGGCAGAAACAUGAACAAUGGUUCACAGAAUUGAUAAUAAAAAAUAAGUUUAUUAAAUUUAAAAUAGACACGGGAGCGCCAUGGUGAAUGUUUUGCCAAAACAACAAGCCGAGAUUCUAGGAAUCACGUCUGGCGAUAUCGUAAACACAAAUGUGAAUUAAAUAUGUACAAUGGACAAAAAUUAAAUGUGCUUGGAACUUGUAAAUUGUUAUGUCGUAAAAAAUAAAUUUUGAUCCCAAAAUGUUUAUUGUAGACUUUAAAUUGGCAAUUUACCUAGCCCUAAACAAGAUUUGGCCUGAAGCAAAAAUUCGAGGAUGCCGUUUUCAUUUAACACAAUCUUGGUGGCGAAAAAUACAAAACUUGGGUCUGGUUGUAGAAUAUAGGAAAGAUACAAAGAUUGGUAGAUGGUUGCAACACACUUUUGGUCUGUGUCAAGUUUAUCUUAUCACUGCUAAACCAAUAACUGAAAAAAAUUGUUAAGCCCCAGAAUGUAUCACUCGUUUUUGGCUAAACAUCUUAGUUUCGGAGAUUCCCUAUUCGGACAUCCAAAAUGCAGCACCCUCUACAAAUUUCCAAAUAUAUCCUAAGUCAAAUCAGUGCUUUAGAUUCUAAUAUUCUUUUCAAACAGAUACAAAAAAAUAGUAUUUUGUAAUAUAAGACAUCUGUAAUAAACAUAUUUGAAAUGUC